rnacentral:lncRNA from 1 species
GCUGUAUCGAUUGUUGAGAUCUGGCGACUUGCUUAAAUUUCAUCAGCCUCACUUCUAUGGACUCUCAGGCCUCACGUGUACCAGCUCUCUGCUCUCCUUUGCCUUGGGACGUUCCAUCCCUGGAAGUUUCCCUGCCCACAUCUUUGUAGAGAGUCCAUUCUCCAAGCUUCAGUGUGUCAUCUGUUAGGACUAUGACCCACCUGGUACAUUACCUCAGGGCAUUCAUUUCAGGCUCCUUCUAAGUGGUCAAGUCUUCUGUCAGCCUAACAAGCAUAGCAAGAAGAUAUAGCCCCACAACCACUUUAUGCACAUAGUUAGAAGCAUAAAAUCUCAUGGAAAGAGACCGAUUAUCCACAGAAGAUGUUGUCUUGCCAUUUCUCUCAUGUUAGAGGUAAACCUCAGGUUCUCCUCCUGCCUUUUGCUAAGUAUAUGUCUUGAUGACAAGCCUUCUGCUAAUGAGCUGUGUUUCUGGACCGAUCAUGGUAGAAGUCAAUUGAAGUGUCCCUCACUUGGGGUUUCUUAAGGUCAUCUAUGAACUGACUCUGUCUCAAAAAAAAGGAAGAAUGAAAAAAAAAAAAAACUAGGACACCGCUAACAGGAAUGGGGACAAAGAAUCUGCACUGAUGAGGAAACUGAAACAGAAAAUCCAGAGUAAAUUCCACCAGGCCACACAGCAAGGUCUGAUAGAGCCAGGAGAGACUUUAUGAAAUCCAGACUCUCACACUAAUGCUCUAUCAGCUAGACCUCCAUGUGAGUCUCCCCAAUGUAGGUAGGAAGCACUUUCCC